rnacentral:rRNA from 1 species
AAAGGAAUAGACGGGGGCCCGCACAAGCGGCGGAGCAUGUUGCUUAAUUCGAAGCAACGCGAAGAACCUUACCAAGGCUUGACAUGCAGGGAAAAGCCGUAGAGAUACGGUGUCCGCAAGGGUCCUGCACAGGUGGUGCAUGGCUGUCGUCAGCUCGUGUCGUGAGAUGUUGGGUUAAGUCCCGCAACGAGCGCAACCCUCGUCCUAUGUUGCCAGCGGGUAAUGCCGGGGACUCAUAGGAGACUGCCGGGGUCAACUCGGAGGAAGGUGGGGAUGACGUCAAGUCCUCAUGCCCCUUAUGUCUUGGGCUGCAAACAUGCUACAAUGGCCAGUACAGAGGGCUGCGAGACCGUAAGGUGGAGCGAAUCUCAAAAAGCUGGUCUCAGUUCGGAUUGGGGUCUGCAACUCGACCCCAUGAAGUCGGAGUCGCUAGUAAUCGCGAAUCAGCAACGUCGCGGUGAAUACGUUCCCGGGCCUUGUACACACCGCCCGU